ensembl:lncRNA novel transcript
CUGGCGGGUUCACGCCAUUCUCCUGCCUCAGCCUCCCGAGUAGCUGGGACUACAGGCGCCUAAUUUUCCAUAAAAUGUAUACCACCAAAAAGAAAAAUUCUGACUGCAGGGAAGCAGUACACUCUGUAGACCCCGGAGAAAAAUAAAUCACCAUGAGAUUUGACAACAAUCAAUUUUUCACUGCACGCUAAUCAAGCAGAUAGAAAGAAGGCCAUGAUUUCUCCCUCAGUCUACUUUUGGACGUUCACAAUGUCUGCAUUUUGGAGUCAGAAGAGAAAGCCAUGAGGAGAGGAAAAAGUAACUUCAAUAAACUAUUUAACACAAAGAACUGGAUGGCAGCCGUCAGCCUGAAUGAAUCAUGGAGUGAGAGACUAAGGUGAAUAGUACCUUCAAGGAUCUCCAAGGCUCCAUACAAAGUAGUGCAUGGCUUUCAGAUUCUUCACCAGAGCAAGGGUAUUAAACAAAAGGGCCCCAGGUGUCCCCCUGUAAGCUACCCAAUUAGGGUUAUUAAUUUGUAAAAUUAUUUUAGGGAUUUAAUUAUGUUAUCUUUCUUCAGAGUUCAUUUGUAUUCCCUAAUUUCUGUAAAGGUCUGCUGAAUAUUUAGAGGUGUCUGAGAUUCAGUUUAUAACUCAUCAUAGAGGCAUAGAAUAAAAGAAAUGAUGUUCUAAAAACCUGAAAGAAUUGGUAUGUUUUACCUGGAUUCUCCUCUCACCACGGAGCAACAUAGCCAUUGAAGGACACAAAGACCAAGCAGAAAAGCAUGGCAAAGUGAAGGCAGCUUUCUACCUAUUGCCUAAUAUAAUGUUAUCCAUUGUGGAGUUUAAUCAGUUGGCAAAAAUAAACUGUUACCUUUUACUCCUCAUAACAAGGGGAGCAUUUACGUGCUCCAAUUCAGUUAAUAAAAAACACCUGAUCCACUGAAA